CCUACGGGAGGCAGCAGUGGGGAAUAUUGCACAAUGGGCGAAAGCCUGAUGCAGCAACGCCGCGUGAAGGAAGAAGGUCUUCGGAUCGUAAACUUCUGUCCUUGGGGAAGAUAAUGCCGGUACCCUUGGAGUAAGCCCCGGCUAACUACUUACCAGCAGCCGCGGUAAUACGAAGGGGGCAAGCGUUAUCCGGAAUUAUUGGGCGAAAAGAGUGCGUAGGUGGUUACUUAAGCCCGGGGGUUAAGGCAAUGGUUAAACCAUUGUGCGCCGUGCGAACUGGGUUACUUGAGUGCAGGAGAGGAAAGCGGAAGUCCUAGUGUAGCGGUGAAAUGCGUAGAUAUUAGGAGGAACACCAGUGGCGAAGGCGGCUUUCUGGACUGUUACUGACACUGAGGCACGAAAGUGUGGGGAGCAAACAGGAUUAGAUACCCGGGUAGUC
rnacentral:rRNA from 1 species